UACGUAGGGGGCAAGCGUUGUCCGGAAUUAUUGGGCGUAAAGCGCGCGCAGGCGGUUUAUUAAGUUCGGUGUUUAAGCCCAGGGCUCAACCCUGGUUCGCACUGGAAACUGGUAGACUAGAGUGUAGGAGAGGAAAGUGGAAUUCCACGUGUAGCGGUGAAAUGCGCAGAUAUCGGGAAGAACACCCGUGGCUAAGGCGGCUCUCUAGUACGGUACUGACGCUGAGACGCGAAAGCGUGGGGAGCAAACAGG
rnacentral:rRNA from 1 species